rnacentral:rRNA from 1 species
AGAGUUUGAUCCUGCUCAGAUGAACGCUAGCGGCAGGCUUAACACAUGCAAGUCGAGGGGUAUAGUUCUCGGAACUAGAGACCGGCGCACGGGUGCGUAACGCGUAUGCAAUCUACCUUUUACAGAGGGAUAGCCCAGAGAAAUUUGGAUUAAUACCUCAUAGUAUAAUGAGUUGGCAUCAACACAUUAUUAAAGUCACAACGGUAAAAGAUGAGCAUGCGUCCCAUUAGCUUGUUGGUAAGGUAACGGCUUACCAAGGCAACGAUGGGUAGGGGUCCUGAGAGGGAGAUCCCCCACACUGGUACUGAGACACGGACCAGGCUCCUACGGGAGGCAGCAGUGAGGAAUAUUGGACAAUGGGCGCAAGCCUGAUCCAGCCAUGCCGCGUGCAGGAAGACGGUCCUAUGGAUUGUAAACUGCUUUUGCACAGGAAGAAACAACAUUACGUGUAAUGUCUUGACGGUACUGUGAGAAUAAGGAUCGGCUAACUCCGUGCCAGCAGCCGCGGUAAUACGGAGGAUCCAAGCGUUAUCCGGAAUCAUUGGGUUUAAAGGGUCCGUAGGCGGUCUUAUAAGUCAGUGGUGAAAUCUCCCCGCUCAACGGGGAAACGGCCAUUGAUACUGUAGGACUUGAAUUAUUAGGAAGUAACUAGAAUAUGUAGUGUAGCGGUGAAAUGCUUAGAGAUUACAUGGAAUACCAAUUGCGAAGGCAGGUUACUACUAAUGGAUUGACGCUGAUGGACGAAAGCGUGGGUAGCGAACAGGAUUAGAUACCCUGGUAGUCCACGCCGCAAACGAUGGAUACUAGCUGUUGGGGGCAACUUCAGUGGCUAAGCGAAAGUGAUAAGUAUCCCACCUGGGGAGUACGUUCGCAAGAAUGAAACUCAAAGGAAUUGACGG